rnacentral:rRNA from 1 species
CCUACGGGAGGCAGCAGUGGGGAAUCUUGCGCAAUGCGCGAAAGCGUGACGCAGCAACGCCGCGUGAGGGAAGACGGCCUUCGGGUUGUAAACCUCUUUCAGUUGGGACGAAGCCACGGCGGUUAAUACCCGUCUGUGGUGACGGUACCUUCAGAAGAAGCCCCGGCUAACUACGUGCCAGCAGCCGCGGUAAUACGUAGGGGGCAAGCGUUGUCCGGAAUCAUUGGGCGUAAAGCGCGUGUAGGCGGCUUGGUAAGUCCGCUCUGAAAGCCCGGGGCUCAACCCCGGGAGGCGGGUGGAUACUGUCAAGCUCGAGUCCGGAAGAGGCGAGUGGAAUUCCUGGUGUAGCGGUGAAAUGCGCAGAUAUCAGGAGGAACACCAAUGGCGAAGGCAGCUCGCUGGGACGUGACUGACGCUGAGACGCGAAAGCGUGGGGAGCAAACAGGAUUAGAUACCCUGGUAGUCCACGCCGUAAACGAUGGGCACUAGGUGUGGGAGGUGUCGACUCCUCCCGUGCCGAAGCUAACGCAUUAAGUGCCCCGCCUGGGGAUACGGCCGCAAGGCUAAAACUUAAAUGAAUUGACGGCUGNGAGNGCGAGACGACGACGAGGGAGGAGG